GGGUGCGAUCAUACCAGCACUAAUGCACCGGAUCCCAUUAGAACUUCGAAGUUAAGCAUGCUUGGGAGAGGGUAGUAGUAGGAUGGGUGACCUCCUGGGAAGUCCUCGUGUUGCACUCC
rnacentral:rRNA from 1 species